rnacentral:hammerhead_ribozyme from 1 species
GCACUGCUGAGGAGUCCCACAAUAGGACGAAACGCCCGUUUAGUGU